GACGAACGCUGGCGGCGUGCCUAAUACAUGCAAGUCGAGCGGACGGAUGGGAGCUUGCUCCCAGACCGUCGGCGGCGGACGGGUGAGUAACACGUGGGCAACCUGCCUGUAAGACUGGGAUAACUCCGGGAAACCGGGGCUAAUACCGGAUAACUCUUUCCCUCACAUGAGGGAAAGCUGAAAGAUGGCAUCUCGCUAUCCUUUACAGAUGGGCCCGCGGCGCAUUAGCUAGUUGGUGAGGUAACGGCUCACCAAGGCGACGAUGCGUAGCCGACCUGAGAGGGUGAUCGGCCACACUGGGACUGGGACACGGCCCAGACUCCUACGGGAGGCAGCAGUAGGGAAUCUUCCGCAAUGGACGAAAGUCUGACGGAGCAACGCCGCGUGAGUGAUGAAGGUUUUCGGAUCGUAAAACUCUGUUGUCAGGGAAGAACAAGUACCGGAGUAACUGCCGGUACCUUGACGGUACCUGACCAGAAAGCCACGGCUAACUACGUG
rnacentral:rRNA from 1 species